CUUUCCUCAACAUUGACUGUAUUCACCUACACUGACAAAUGUAGCAUGUUGUGUUGUGACUUUUUUGCAUUUUUCCAUUUUAUGAUUACACCAUGAUUAUUUUUUCCCUGAUCUAAUACUGAUGGGGCUUUACAAUAUAAUAAAUGUUCCUAUGAAUAUUAUUGCCAAUGUCUCUUCAGGAACAACUGAUGAGGUUUUGGGGUGAUGGUGUGGAGGUCUGGAGCCGACGACGAAGAAAGAAUUCUUGAAGACAUCUUUGAUGCAAAAAGGUCAAUGCUUAUUUUUCUGCAGGUACUCACCUCCGCUCUGAGCUGCCAAACAGGCUUGUCUCCAGGAUUCAUCUCUACUAAUUAAGAAGCGGAGUCCGAGGAAAAAAAAAUAGGCCCCGCCCCCACCAGUUCCUCCUCCAGCCUCUUCAAUCCUGAUGAUUGCCCCUUUGCAAACACUUCGAGUUGCAAUCCAGGGAAUCCUGUAAAAUAUCUUCCACUCAUUUGCUAAAGCUGAAAGUAUGUUCAUAUAUCAAAUCCCUGGAGAUGUCCUGUCUUUCUCUCUUUUGUUCAAACUAUACUUUAUUUUGUGAAUAUGGUACAGAGCUUGUUAAAUGGUGAUCAGAUCAUUCUCUAGUUGGACUUUAAAAGACUUUUCCUUUGAUAGAUGCACAUGCACUUCCUCUGCCAAUUCUCUCAGAAGCUUUCUCUUACAUUAAAGAAGAUGCUAACGUU